UUUCCUACGGGGGGCAGCAGUGAGGAAUAUUGGUCAAUGGUCGGGAGACUGAACCAGCCAAGCCGCGUGAGGGAUGAAGGUACAGAGUAUCGUAAACCUCUUUUGUCAGGGAACAAAGGCGGGGACGUGUCCCCGGAUGAGUGUACCUGAAGAAAAAGCAUCGGCUAACUCCGUGCCAGCAGCCGCGGUAAUACGGAGGAUGCGAGCGUUAUCCGGAUUUAUUGGGUUUAAAGGGUGCGUAGGCGGAUCGUUAAGUCAGUGGUCAAAUUGAGGGGCUCAACCCCUUCCCGCCACUGAAACUGGCG
rnacentral:rRNA from 1 species